rfam:Triticum aestivum genome assembly, contig: Triticum_aestivum_CS42_TGACv1_scaffold_093161_2AL
AUAGUACUCCCUCCAUCUGAAAAUAUUUGUCAUCAAAAUAGAUAAAAAGAGACGUAUCUAGAACUACUUAGAUACAUCUCCUUUGUCAAUUUUGAUGACAAAUAUUUCCGGAUGGAGAGAGUACUAG